CAAUGGGCGAAAGCCUGAUGCAGCGACGCCGCGUGAGGGAUGACGGCCUUCGGGUUGUAAACCUCUUUCAGCAGGGAAGAAGCGAAAGUGACGGUACCUGCAGAAGAAGCGCCGGCUAACUACGUGCCAGCAGCCGCGGUAAUACGUAGGGCGCAAGCGUUGUCCGGAAUUAUUGGGCGUAAAGAGCUCGUAGGCGGCUUGUCACGUCGAUUGUGAAAGCUCGGGGCUUAACCCCGAGUCUGCAGUCGAUACGGGCUAGCUAGAGUGUGGUAGGGGAGAUCGGAAUUCCUGGUGUAGCGGUGAAAUGCGCAGAUAUCAGGAGGAACACCGGUGGCGAAGGCGGAUCUCUGGGCCAUUACUGACGCUGAGGAGCGAAAGCGUGGGGAGCGAACAGGAUUAGAUACCCUGGUAGUCCACGCCGUAAACGGUGGGAACUAGGUGUUGGCGACAUUCCACGUCGUCGGUGCCGCAGCUAACGCAUUAAGUUCCCCGCCUGGGGAGUACGGCCGCAAGGCUAAAACUCAAAGGAAUUGACGGGGGCCCGCACAAGCGGCGGAGCAUGUGGCUUAAUUCGACGCAACGCGAAGAACCUUACCAAGGCUUGACAUACACCGGAAAGCAUUAGAGAUAGUGCCCCCCCUUGUGGUCGGUGUACAGGUGGUGCAUGGC
rnacentral:rRNA from 1 species